rnacentral:piRNA from 1 species
UGCAAAGGCACCUUCAUCUCGCUGCUCUUU